CUUCGUACUUUUACAAUAGGUACUUCCCCAUAUGGGCCCAAAGCUGAUGGGCCCAGAAAAUAUCAAAAGCCGAAUUCGACAAAGUAAUCAGGAAUUCAUGAUGCGAACCAACACACUCACAUUUCUCUGGUUCUUCCUCUUUGAUUGCUUUUUGUCUCGAUUCGAAUAUUUUCUUAUUCAACUAUAUCAUUAAUCCACAGGUAUAUUCUAAUUAAUUCUGUAUACGAAUAGAGAAUAUACAUAUUGUACUAAGUGAUGGCGUGGAGGUUGAGUUCGGGUGAUAUAGCCGGAUUCAAAGUACUGUUUAGUAUGUUGAUUAUGUAUGGAUUGAUAUCAGUACUUGUAUACUCAAUCAUUCACAUGAAAUUCAUCACACCUCUUGCUAUUGACGCUCCUCCUCAUCGCUUCUCUGAAGCCAGAGCUAUUGAGCAUAUUCGCGUCUUAUCUAAAGAUAUUGGUGGUCGUCAGGAAGGACGUCAAGGUUUGAGAUUAGCUGCACAGUAUAUUAAGAAACAGUUGGACAUGAUUAAGGAAAGAGCUCAACCUGGUAUUAGAAUAGAGAUAGAGGAGACUAUUGUUAAUGGCUCCUUCAACAUGUUCUUUUUACACCAUAGCAUCUCUCUCACUUAUAGGAAUCAUACAAAUAUUAUUAUGAGAAUGUCAUCAGUGGAUUCAGGAGAAAAUGAUUCUGCAGUUUUGGUGAAUGGCCAUUUUGAUACUCCACCUGGUUCUCCAGGAGCUGGUGAUUGUGGUUCAUGUGUUGCAUCAAUACUCGAGCUAGCAAGACUUUUUGUUCAUUCCGGCUGGAUUCCACCUAGACCAGUUAUAUUUCUAUUUAAUGGAGCUGAAGAACUGUUUAUGCUGGGUUCGCACGGUUUCAUAACUACACAUAGAUGGAAUCAGACGAUUGGAGCAUUUAUAGAUGUUGAAGCUUCUGGGACCGGAGGCCUUGAUUUAGUUUGCCAAUCUGGACCUGGGUCCUGGCCUUCACAUGUUUAUGCUCAAUCAGCACUAUAUCCUAUGGCAAAUAGUGCGGCUCAGGAUCUUUUUGGUAUAAUUCCUGGUGAUACAGACUACAGAAUGUUUGCCCAAGAUUUUGGCGAUAUUCCUGGCCUGGAUAUUAUCUUUCUCCUCGGGGGUUAUUUUUAUCAUACCGCAUCUGAUACUGUUGAAAGACUAUUACCUGGAAGCAUCCAAGCACGUGGAGACAAUUUAUUAAGAAUAAUCAAAGCCUUCGCCAACUCGUCUUACCUGCAAAAUGCACAUGAAAGGAGAUUAAAAUCUGCUGUCAAUAGAUCUGACAAUGAACGUGCAGUGUUCUUUGAUUACUUGUCGUGGUUCUUGAUAUACUAUUCGCGAGAGCAAGCUAUGUUACUUCAUAGUUUACCUCUUGUCAUCUUUUUUCUCAUGCCACUUCUGUUACGCUUUCCAACUUGGGGACUGACCUCUUCUUUUGCAACCUUUUAUGAUUUUCUUAAAGGAGUGUUAUAUCAUACUUCUGCAAUUUUGCUAGCAAUUGUUUUUCCAGCUGCCUUUGCUGUCAUAAGACUGCUGUUUUCUGGUCAGUCAAUGAACUGGUUUUCUACACCAUAUUUGGCAUUCAUGAUGUUCGUACCCUGUUCACUUGCUGGGAUGUUGAUUCCAAGAAUGCUCUGGAAAAGCUUCCCUCUGAGUCAAGAUGAUUCUGUCCUGAAGUUGUCAAAAGAGGAACUAGUUUUUGAAGCUAGAUUUUGGGGAGCAUUUGGGUUCUAUUCCAUUUUAACAUUGCAGGCUUACCUUGUUGCUGGGCUGAGCGGAGGUUUCUUGACAUUUGUAAUGUCAGCAUUCAUGCUUCUUGCUUGGAUUUCCUUUCGCCUGUCUAUGAAGUCCUUUGUUGUCAGAUCAUUUAGGUCAACUGCAUGUUAUGUGAUCCCUCUCAUUCCUUGCCUAUUGUACGCGGUGUAUUUUGGCGGAUUGCUUGUUGCUUUUGUGAUUGAAAAAAUGGGCAUGACAGGCUCACUCCCCCCUCCUUUUGGGUACUUCAUUCCUGAUGUUAUAGUGGCAGCAAUAAUUGGAGUGGUGACUAGUUGGUCUGUUGGGCCUAUUUUGCCUAUUGUGAGCCACUGGUUAGCCAGGUCAUCUAUACUGCAUUUUUUGCUACACAGCAGUGUUCUUGCUUUGGCCCUUUCAUCACAAUUCUUUCCGUACAGUGCCGAUGCACCUAAAAGAGUUAUAUUCCAGCAUACUAUCCGGAAUGCAGGUGCCAGUCAAAUUAUGGAAACUACCUAUGAUUUUGCUGUAGUUGACUCCAACACUUUGCCUUUUGUUUUCAAACAUGCCCCUGAAGUGGCCAAUGCACUGCACAUUAAUACCAUAUUAUCCUUUGAUGCUGUCGAGCAGUCUCAUCGAGAGGAUUGGAUGGGGAUCUUUCCAAUAUCUUCGCUGUUUUCAAGAUGCAUGAAGUUCCCUGCGAAAAAAUCGGAUGUCUUGCGUGAAUACAAUCAUCUCCCACAUCUAACGACUAAUAAGCCACAAGAGAGUUUGAGUGGGGGUUCCCGUAGGAUCUACUUGGAGUUCUCCCUCGGUUCCUUGAAGGAAGUCUGGGUUGCAGUCCUUAAUAUUACUGGUUCGCUAUCAAGCUGGUCAUUUGCAGAUAACGUUCUUCCAGCUCCUGAGAAGACUGGUAAUGGUCCGCCAUCAUAUAUAUGUAGAUUAAGUGGUGCAGGCGAUAAAAAGUGGAGCUUUUGGUUGGAGGACCGCAGUAUGGGACAGGUGAUUGGUGCAGGAUAUGAAUCACAAGGCCUCUACUAUCUAACACUUACCUCUCCUAAUUCCUCCAUAGCAUGCUCCGUUAUAGAUCCUCCAGACUUAAUCCAUAAACGAUUAGGACAUCCGAGUCUGUUCAAGCUACAAAAGGUGGUGCCUAGUUUGUCUAGUCUGUCUAAAUUAGAUUGUGAGUCAUGUCAACUUGGGAAACACACUCACUAUCUUUCCACGCAGUGCUGAGAGUCGUGCAGAGUCUAUUUUUCCAAUAGUUCAUUAUGAUAUUUGGGGUCCUAGUGGAGUCGGUUCACCUUUAGGAUUUCAUUAUUUUGUUAGUUUCAUUGAUGAUUUUUUCAGAUGUACUUGGCUAUUCUUAAUGAAAGAUCGUCCUGAGUUAAUUCUCUAUAUUCAAGAGUUUUUGUGCUGAAAUACAAAAACAAUUUGGUGUUUCUAUUCGUACUUUUCGGUGUGAUAAUGCCUUAGAAUACAAAUCCUCCCAGUUUCAGCAGUUUAUGACUCACCAAGGAAUUAUUAAUCAAACAUCUUGUCCUUUCACCCCUCAGCAGAAUGGGGUAGCAGAAAGGAAGAAUAGGCAUCUCAUUGAGACUGCUCGCACUCUUCACAUUGAAUCCCAUGUUCCGCUGCGUUUUUGGGGCGAUUCAGUCCUCACGUCUUGCCAUUUAAUUAAUCGAAUGUCUUCAUCUUCUAUUCAGAAUCAGAUUUCAUAUUCCAUAGUAUACCUCAAUCAUCUCUAUACUCUCUUCCUCCUCGUGUUUUUGGGAGCACAUGUUUUGUGCAUAACCUAGCUCCGGGGACAGAUAAAUUAGCUCCUCGCUCUCUUAAAUGUGCCUUUCUUGGUUAUUCUCGGGUUCAAAAGGGGUAUCGUUGCUUCUCACCUGAUCUCCGUCAAUAUCUUAAGUCUAUCGAUGUCACAUUUUUUGAGUCUCAACCUUACUUUAGGUCUCCUUCUGAUCAUCCUGAUAUCUCUGAGGUCUUACCUAUAUCUUGGGUUUUACCUAUACCGACCUUUGAGGAAUCUACAGUUACUUCUACUUCUCCAGUCACAGUGCCACCACUUUUGACUUAUCAUCGUCGGCCACGUCCAGCAUCAGACCCAACAUCAGGUCCAGAUGAUUCAUGUCAUGCGUCAGACCCUGCACCUACUACAGACUUGUCUCCUCCUGAUCUGCCGAUUGUACUUCGGAAAGGUAAACGGUCCACUCGUAAUACUAAUUCACAUUAUACCCUUUUAGGUUAUCAUCGUCUAUCGUCAUCCCAUUAUGCCUUUGUAUCAUCAUUGUCCUCUGUCCCCAUUCCUAAGUCUACAGGUGAAGUCCUUUCUCAUCCCUGAUUGCGACAAGCUAUGAUUGACGAGAUGUCUGCUUUACACACAAGUGGUACUUGGAAGCUUGUUCCUCUUCCUACAGGUAAAUCUACUGUUGGCAGUCUUUGGGUUUAUGCAGUCAAAGUUGGUCCGGAUGGCCAAGUUGAUCGGCUCAAGGCUCGCCUUGUUGUGAAGGGGUAUACACAGAUAUUUGGGCUUGAUUACGGUGAUACUUUCUCUCUCGUGGCUAAAAUAGUAUCUGUCCAUCUUUUUCUAUUCAUGGCUGCUGUCCGCCAUUGGUCUCUUUAUCAGUUGGACAUUAAGAAUGUUCUUCUCCAUGGUGAUCUUGAGGAGGAAGUUUAUAUGGAGCAACCACCUGGUUUUGUUGCUCAGGGGGAGUCUAAUCUGGUGUGUCGAUUGCGUCGGUCACUUUAUGGUUUGAAACAGUCUCCUCGAGCUUGGUUUGGUAAAUUCAGCACAGUAAUUCAGGAGUUUGGCAUGACUCGUAGUGAAGCAGAUCAUUCUGUGUUUUAUCGACAUUCUGCUCCAGAUUUGAGUAUUUAUUUAGUGGUUUAUGUUGACGAUAUCGUUAUAACUGGCAAUGAUCAAGAUGGUAUCACUAAUUUAAAGCAACAUUUUCAGCAUUUCCAGACUAAAGAUCUUAGCAGACUAAAGUAUUUUCUAAGUAUUGGGGUUGCACAAUCCACGUCAGGUAUUGUUAUUUCGCAACGCAAGUAUGCCUUGGACAUUGUUGAGGAGACAGGAAUGAUGGGAUGUAGACCCAUUGACACUCCUAUGGAUUCGAAUGCUAAACUCCUGCCAAGACAGAGGGAGCCACUCAGUGAUCCUGGAAGAUAUAGGUGGCUGGUUGGUAAGCUGAAUUAUCUCACAGUGACUAGGCCUGACAUUUCGUUUCCUGUGAGUGUUGUACGUCAGUUUAUGGAUUCUCCCUGUGAUAGUCAUUGGGAUGCAGUUGUCCGCAUUCUGCGAUAGAUUAAGUCAGCUCCAGAGUCCUUUACAAAUGCUAAUUAUGCAGGAUCACCCUCUGAUAGACUUUCUACAUUUGGAUAUCGUGUGUUAAUAGGAGGUAAUUUGGUGUCUUGGAAGAGUAAGAAACAGAGUGUCAUUGCACAAUCUAGUGCUGAAUCAGAAUAUCGAGCAAUGGUUGUAGCAACUUGUGAGCUAGUUUGGAUUAAGCAGUUUCUCAGAGAACUAAAAUUUGGAGAAUUCAGUCAAAUGGAACUUGUGUGUGAUAACAAAGCGCCCCUUCAUAUCGCAUCAAAUCCAGUAUUUCAUGAGAGGAAUAAGCACAUUGAGAUUGACUGUCACUUUGUCCGGAAAAAGAUACUCUCCGGAGAUAUUGUUACUAAAUUUGUGAAGUCAAGUGAUCAGCUUGCGGAUAUUUUCACCAAGUCACUCAGUCGUCGUCGUAUUAGAUACAUCUGUAACAAGCUCGGUACAUAUGACUUGUAUGCACCAGCUUGAGGGGGAGUGUUAGAAUAGGAAUAGGAUUUGGAUUUGUAUAUAGUAUCCUACAUGGAAAAGGAUUAGGAUGUAGUGUCUAGAAAUAGGACUCAAUGUAAUAAUGUAGAUACACAUUUCAAUAAUAAUAUUUUCUCCCAUAUUUUCUCACAAUGAUGAAGUCAUUGUUGGGGCAAAGAGCAAGUUUGUCACACCCCAAAUCUGGAGUGGCAUGACCGGCACUCGAUGCCAAACUAGGCCCGAGCGAACCACUCUAAAUCUGAAGCUCUGGGGAGUAACUCCCAACUUAAGCCGAUAAGGCCUACCUGCACACAGACAAUACCGACAAGCCGGCGUGGCCGAAAUCUGGAUAUAUAUGUAAAUACUGACUAUAUCGUCUGAACUGGGCACUCACACAUCCCAAAAUACAUAUACACAACUGAGUAAGCCGACGAGGCUGCUGUGAUCGUACAAAGCCAACAGUAUCCAAGCAGACAUAUACAAGCCGACAAGGCUAUCACACAGACACUCUGUUUACAGGACUCGUCUACAAGCCUCUAGGGAAAGUGUGACUGUACCAAACAAUCUGUAAUAAAAAAAGGAGAGACUCCAAGGACCUGGCAACUCCGAACAAAAAGGAAGCUCACCACUCAGCGGAUAUCAGAUUCUGCCUACUGGGGAGGUCUAUCAAUCUGUCGAUCUGUACCUACAGGCAUGAAUGCAGUGCUCCCGGCAAAAGGGACGUCAGUACGAAACAAUGUACCGAGUAUGUAUGGCAAACGAUAACUGAAACUGAACUGAAAACAAUACAAUUUGGAGGCCAAAGGAUGCCUUGAAUAUCUCGCCUGACCUGUCUCAUAUGAAAUGCAAUAUAAUACUAUUAUAUAUCUCACUGACCAAGUGGCCAGGCAACUGUAAAAUCUUACUGACCAAGUGGCCAGGCAUUCUGUCUCACUGACCCGUAGGCCAAGCAUGUCUGUCUCACUGACCAAGUGGUCAGGCUAAAGAAAAUGUCUGACCCGUAGGCCAGGCUAAGUACAUCAUGCAUAUGCUGAAAAUACAGAUACUGUAACAUGCCCCUUCUGUCUCUCUAUAAACUCAAGGACAUAAGGAGGGGAUAUGGCCCCUCGGAAAGAAUAACAUAACACUCGGAAACUAUGCGAUAAUAUGACAAGCGCUACUUUGAUAAAUCUUUAGUCACAAGGUUUAUUACGCGCUUACUAUAUAUGGAAUCAUGCCAAGAAAAGAAGGAACAACCUUAAAAUAUCUGAAGCUUACUUCUCGACUUUCCAACCUACUUCGUGUCUUCCAAUCUACAUAAGAUCAUUCGUAGUCUCAUAAUCUACAUAUAAAACCAUCGGACGGGUUCCAGUGGUGGACGGGUGAGUAACGCGUAAGAACCUGCCCUUGGGAGGGGAACAACAGCUGGAAACGGCUGCUAAUACCCCGUAGGCUGAGGAGCAAAAGGAGCAAUCCGCCUGAGGAGAGGCUCGCGUCUGAUUAGAUAGUUGGUGAGGCAAUAGCUUACCAAGGCGAUGAUCAGUAGCUAGUCCGAGAGGAUGAUCCGUCAUAUGCCUGUCUGUCUUUAAGCCUUCAAAUUAUUUCCCAAAAAGCUCAGCUCAUAUAUAGGGGUGUGAGUGACAUAAAAAUUGAGGGAUUAGAGUGAUUUUGAGUGGCGGAGUAUUAAUCGAGGCUCGGGUGACGUAUAGCGGUGACUAUAGUAUCGUUUUGCGGUGGAUCUGGGCUUGAAUAUACUUAUUUCUUGAAAUCACAGUCGUUUAUAUCAUUCAUUCAUAGCCCUACUUUAUUGUCGACAAUAAUAUUUUUAUGUCUGUCAUAAUUUCACCAUUCGUUUUCAAUGGCAGUCAAUUCAAUCUCAUAACCGACGCGACUUAAAUCCAUACGCCAUAUCUCUCUAGGACGGGUAAGCCAACCUCUUGCUCACUAGGUCCUAUGAUAAAUUUCACCAUGCUUUAUUCAUUGCGGACAAGCCAACCUCUCGCUUUCCAGGGUUCAUAUGAAUCCAUUUUGUUUAUAGAACCCAUGGCAACAAUUGUAUUCAACAUGUGGAAGUCAUAACCUCAACUAUUAUCUAUACCUGUGUUCUCAUACAAAGGUCUCUAAACAUGUCAUAUAAGUCACUCCUUUUGUUCUAAUUUAUGUGAUACAACAACAACAACAUACCCAGUGAAAUCUCACAGUGUGGGGUCUGGAGAGGGUAAAAUGUACGCAGACCUUACCUCCAUCUCGGAAGAUAGAGAGGCUGUUUUCGGAAGACCCUCGGCUCAAGAGAAAACAUGAUGAGAAAAGGCGAACAGUUCUGAGGCCAUUAAGGUUGAUGUGGCUGUAGUGGACCAGUAUUUGACAAAGUCUGCUGCUAAA